CAGAAAGUUUUCCAGAACCCAUCAAACUCAUUUGGGCUACUGUGGAAGAAAUCUUUCUCUUUGUCCUGCUUUUCAGGAGAAAAUGCUUCAGGAAGUGCAUUGGCUCAGACAAGAAAAUUGAUGGAUAAUGUGUUACUUGUGAUGUUUGUUUUUCUUGAUGCUUGAAUGGGAAGACAGCAUAUUGUCAGCUUUUUAAAGUCACUCAGCUAAACUUCAGAAGAGUUAGGAGCGCCAAGGAGUAACCAGAUGGAAGACCCCUCUGAAACCAGAGAAUGAUUUUGA